AUGAAUGGAUCAAUGAGAUUCCCACUGUCCCUAUCUGCUACCUAGCGAACACACAGCCAAGGGAACAGGCUUGGAAUAAUCAGCGGGGAAAGAAGACCCUUUUGAGCUUGACUCUAGUCCGACUUUGUGAAAUGACUUACGAGGUAUAGCCUAAGUGGGAGCUCACGCGAACCUGUAAAACCACUACUCGUUUUGCCAUUUUACUUAUUCCGUGAAAUAGUGACCACUUUCCGGUGGUUCUAGUAUUAAGGUUAGGCGCAAGCUCGACUGAACUAAGCGGAAGACAUGGUCAGGUGGGGAGUUUGGCUGGGGCGGCACAUCUGUUAAACUAUAACGCAGGUGUCCUACGGUGAGCUCAGAGAGAACAGAAAUCUCUCGUAGACCAAAAAGGGGAAAAGGCUCACUUGAUUUUGAUUUUCAGUAUGAAUACAAAACUGUGAAAGCAUGGCCUAUCGAUCC
rnacentral:rRNA from 1 species